rnacentral:lncRNA from 1 species
UUUUAUAGAUCACAGGUUAUUUCAAAAUCACAGAUCAUUCAAAUUACAUGUUGCAUUUUAUCUAUGCAUCACAUAUGUCACAAAUUAUUUUUUAGUCUCAAAUACCUAAUUUUUUGUCACAAAUCAGCGAAAUAGUUGGUCACAGAUGCCAAGAUAGUUGGUCACAUAUUUCAAACACCCCCACCAUCGGUCCCGAUCCAGUAACAAUCUUGGUAACAAAUUACCAUCACCCAAUCGUCGCUUGCAACACACCACCGCAUCAUCAGACCCUAUCCUGAUCCCGAUCCCGAUCCCAAUCCCAAUCCCAAUCCCAAUCCCAUCCCACCAUAGUACUUGUUCACAAAUACCAACAGAAUAGAAAAAAAAAAAAGCAAUGAUUUUAUUUUCCACCAACAACCAACUAAAAAUACAAACACAAAAUGUUUGCUAAGCAUUCAUUUUUGCCGCCCAACAGAGAACAAGUUACCGUGAAACACCAAUUGAGAGAGCAUAGCAAAGGUCGAGGCCAGAUCGACGAUCGACAGCUCCUACUCACGAUUGGCGUUGAUAUUGAAGAGUCUGGAAGAUAGAGGCAACACCACUUGCAUCGAAGAUUCUCUUUCAGGGGUAGCGUCGCUAUUGUUGGGAGAGGAGAGAUUAAGGAGAAGAGAAGAGUGGUGCUGGGUGUCGCCAUUGCCUCCCAGUCAACUCUGUGUGCUUAGUGCCUCCGAUUCCAUUGUGAUUGUGCGUGCUCAGAGAGAGAGAGAGAGGAAUGAGACACGGAUGGGGGAAAAUUUUACUCCGUGUGCAUUCCCAAUUCCAUUGUGAUUGUGCGUGUUUAGAGAGAGCGGAAUGAGAUAGGGAUGGGGGAAAUUUUUAGGUUUUGUAGUAGGAUAAGUGGGUAAAUUUAACUAAUACUUGGUUUUUGGUUAAAAAUAGUUCACACCUGAAUUUUGAAUUAGAAC